ACUGUGGUAUUCGGACAAGGCACCAAGCUGAUUGUGACAAGCUCCAGCCUCCCUCCUCCUGUCCUGACAGUCUUCCCUCCGUCCAGUGCUGAGCUCCAGUCCAACACAGCUUCUCUGGUCUGUCUGUCCAGUCAGUCUGUGUCUUUUGCAGAUGUGAGCUGGUUGGCUGGUGGGAGUCCAGUGAGCAGUGGGAUCUCUACCAGCACUGCUGUUCAGAGACCAGACCAGACUUACCAAAUCAGCAGCUCUCUGACCAUCCAGACAUCAGACUGGAACAUGGAUAAGGUUUAUACAUGUAAAGUGUCUUUGGGCUCGCAGACUUCAGAGAAAACCAUCAAGAAGUCAGAAUGUUCCACUGAGUAGUAGAAGGGUCAGAAUCAGCAUUUAACAUCUAUCUGGCUCUUUAAUGCUUUUGGCAUUUGUUUAGUGCUCGUUUUCAUGUUAUAAAAUACGAGCAGUUACUGUUGUGACUGUUUGAUUUAUGUGCUCUACUGACCUUUGCUAUAUGUUUAUUCAGCAAAAUAAUAAUAAAAAAAUAUUGUAACAAAAUGCUUGAUGUGCAUCCUGUAUUUCCCCUUUUUGUCAUAUUU